AACGAACGCUGGCGGCAGGCUUAACACAUGCAAGUCGAGCGCCCCGCAAGGGGAGCGGCAGACGGGUGAGUAACGCGUGGGAACGUACCCUUUUCUACGGAAUAACGCAUGGAAACGUGUGCUAAUACCGUAUACGCCCUUCGGGGGAAAGAUUUAUCGGAGAAGGAUCGGCCCGCGUUGGAUUAGUUAGUUGGUGGGGUAAAGGCCUAACAAGGCGACGAUCCAUAGCUGGUCUGAGAGGAUGAUCAGCCACAUUGGGACUGAGACACGGCCCAAACUCCUACGGGAGGCAGCAGUGGGGAAUAUUGGACAAUGGGCGCAAGCCUGAUCCAGCCAUGCCGCGUGAGUGAUGAAGGCCUUAGGGUUGUAAAGCUCUUUCACCGGAGAAGAUAAUGACGGUAUCCGGAGAAGAAGCCCCGGCUAACUUCGUGCCAGCAGCCGCAGUAA
rnacentral:rRNA from 1 species